rnacentral:rRNA from 1 species
UUAGUGGCGAACGGGUGAGUAACACGUGAGUAACCUGCCCUUAACUCUGGGAUAAGCCUGGGAAACUGGGUCUAAUACCGGAUAUGACUCCUCAUCGCAUGGUGGGGGGUGGAAAGCUUUAUUGUGGUUUUGGAUGGACUCGCGGCCUAUCAGCUUGUUGGUGAGGUAAUGGCUCACCAAGGCGACGACGGGUAGCCGGCCUGAGAGGGUGACCGGCCACACUGGGACUGAGACACGGCCCAGACUCCUACGGGAGGCAGCAGUGGGGAAUAUUGCACAAUGGGCGAAAGCCUGAUGCAGCGACGCCGCGUGAGGGAUGACGGCCUUCGGGUUGUAAACCUCUUUCAGUAGGGAAGAAGCGAAAGUGACGGUACCUGCAGAAGAAGCGCCGGCUAACUACGUGCCAGCAGCCGCGGUAAUACGUAGGGCGCAAGCGUUAUCCGGAAUUAUUGGGCGUAAAGAGCUCGUAGGCGGUUUGUCGCGUCUGCCGUGAAAGUCCGGGGCUCAACUCCGGAUCUGCGGUGGGUACGGGCAGACUAGAGUGAUGUAGGGGAGACUGGAAUUCCUGGUGUAGCGGUGAAAUGCGCAGAUAUCAGGAGGAACACCGAUGGCGAAGGCAGGUCUCUGGGCAUUAACUGACGCUGAGGAGCGAAAGCAUGGGGAGCGAACAGGAUUAGAUACCCUGGUAGUCCAUGCCGUAAACGUUGGGCACUAGGUGUGGGGGACAUUCCACGUUUUCCGCGCCGUAGCUAACGCAUUAAGUGCCCCGCCUGGGGAGUACGGCCGCAAGGCUAAAACUCAAAGGAAUUGACGGGGGCCCGCACAAGCGGCGGAGCAUGCGGAUUAAUUCGAUGCAACGCGAAGAACCUUACCAAGGCUUGACAUGAACCGGUAAUACCUGGAAACAGGUGCCCCGCUUGCGGUCGGUUUACAGGUGGUGCAUGGUUGUCGUCAGCUCGUGUCGUGAGAUGUUGGGUUAAGUCCCGCAACGAGCGCAACCCUCGUUCUAUGUUGCCAGCGCGUUAUGGCGGGGACUCAUAGGAGACUGCCGGGGUCAACUCGGAGGAAGGUGGGGACGACGUCAAAUCAUCAUGCCCCUUAUGUCUUGGGCUUCACGCAUGCUACAAUGGCCGGUACAAAGGGUUGCGAUACUGUGAGGUGGAGCUAAUCCCAAAAAGCCGGUCUCAGUUCGGAUUGGGGUCUGCAACUCGACCCCAUGAAGUCGGAGUCGCUAGUAAUCGCAGAUCAGCAACGCUGCGGUGAAUACGUUCCCGGGCCUUGUACACACCGCCCGUCAAGUCACGAAAGUUGGUAAC